UCCUCGGUGGCGCAAUUGGCUAGCGCGUCUGACUGUUAUCUACAGGAAUUUAAAUAUCAUUAAUCAGGAGGUUGAAAGUUCAAGCCUUUCCCGGGGAG